CAGUCGCCGCGGUAAUACAGAGGGUGCGAGCGUUAAUCGGAUUUACUGGGCGUAAAGCGUGCGUAGGCGGCUUCUUAAGUCGGAUGUGAAAUCCCUGAGCUUAACUUAGGAAUUGCAUUCGAUACUGGGAAGCUAGAGUAUGGGAGAGGAUGGUAGAAUUCCAGGUGUAGCGGUGAAAUGCGUAGAGAUCUGGAGGAAUACCGAUGGCGAAGGCAGCCAUCUGGCCUAAUACUGACGCUGAGGUACGAAAGCAUGGGGAGCAAACAGGAUUAGAUACCCCCGUAGUCCCUGUCUCUUUACC
rnacentral:rRNA from 1 species